GGGGAAUAUUGCACAAUGGAGGAAACUCUGAUGCAGCGACGCCGCGUGAGUGAAGAAGGUCUUCGGAUCGUAAAACUCUGUCCUUGGUGACGAAAAAAAUGACGGUAGCCAAGGAGGAAGCCCCGGCUAACUACGUGCCAGCAGCCGCGGUAAUACGUAGGGGGCGAGCGUUGUCCGGAUUUACUGGGCGUAAAGGGUGAGUAGGCGGCCCUGCAAGUCAGGCGUGAAAGGCGGAGGCUUAACCUCCGAGCUGCGUUUGAAACUGUGGGGCUUGAGUGGAGCAGAGGCAGGCGGAAUUCCCGGUGUAGCGGUGAAAUGCGUAGAGAUCGGGAGGAACACCAGUGGCGAAGGCGGCCUGCUGGGCUUUAACUGACGCUGAAGCACGAAAGCAUGGGUAGCAAACA
rnacentral:rRNA from 2 species